UACGUAGGGUGCAAGCGUUGUCCGGAAUUAUUGGGCGGAAAGAGCGUGUAGGCGGCCCGAUUAGUCCGCUGUGAAAGUCCAGGGCUCAACCCUGGAAUGCCGGUGGAUACUGUCGGGCUAGAGUCCGGAAGGGGCGAGUGGAAUUCCUGGUGUAGCGGUGAAAUGCGCAGAUAUCAGGAAGAACACCCGUGGCGAAGGCGGCUCUCUGGGACGGUACUGACGCUGAGACGCGAAAGCGUGGGAGCGAACAGG
rnacentral:rRNA from 1 species